rnacentral:rRNA from 1 species
AUUGAACGCUGGCGGCAGGCUUAACACAUGCAAGUCGAACGGUAACAGAGAGAAGCUUGCUUCUUUGCUGACGAGUGGCGGACGGGUGAGUAAUGCUUGGGAAUCUGUUUUAUGGAGGGGGAUAACUACGGGAAACUGUAGCUAAUACCGCGUAAUAUCGAGAGAUUAAAGUGUGGGACCGUAAGGCCACAUGCCAUAGAGUGAGCCCAAGUGGGAUUAGGUAGUUGGUGGGGUAAAGGCCUACCAAGCCGUCGAUCUCUAGCUGGUCUGAGAGGAUGACCAGCCACACUGGGACUGAGACACGGCCCAGACUCCUACGGGAGGCAGCAGUGGGGAAUAUUGCACAAUGGGCGCAAGCCUGAUGCAGCCAUGCCGCGUGAAUGAAGAAGGCCUUCGGGUUGUAAAGUUCUUUCGGUGGUGAGGAAGGUUGAUAUGUUAAUAGCAUAUUGAUUUGACGUUAGCCACAGAAGAAGCACCGGCUAACUCCGUGCCAGCAGCCGCGGUAAUACGGAGGGUGCGAGCGUUAAUCGGAAUAACUGGGCGUAAAGGGCACGCAGGCGGAUACUUAAGUGAGGUGUGAAAGCCCUGGGCUUAACCUAGGAAUUGCAUUUCAUACUGGGUAUCUAGAGUAUUUUAGGGAGGGGUAGAAUUCCACGUGUAGCGGUGAAAUGCGUAGAGAUGUGGAGGAAUACCGAAGGCGAAGGCAGCCCCUUGGGGGAAUACUGACGCUCAUGUGCGAAAAGCGUGGGGAGCAAAACAGGAUUAGAUACCCUGGUAGUCCACGCUGUAAACGAUGUCGAUUUGGGGAUUGGGCAAUAAGCUUGGUGCCCGUAGCUAACGUGAUAAAAUCGACCGCCUGGGGAGUACGGCCGCAAGGUUAAAAACUCAAAAUGAAUUGACGGGGGCCCGCACAAGCGGUGGAGCAUGUGGUUUAAUUCGAUGCAACGCGAAGAACCUUACCUACUCUUGACAUCCUAAGAAGAAGCUAGAGAUAGCUUUGUGCCUUCGGGAACUUAGAGACAGGUGCUGCAUGGCUGUCGUCAGCUCGUGUUGUGAAAAUGUUGGGUUAAGUCCCGCAACGAGCGCAACCCUUAUCCUUUGUUGCCAGCGAUUUGGUCGGGAAACUCAAAAGGAGACUGCCAGUGAUAAACUGGAGGAAGGUGGGGAUGACGUCAAAGUCAUCAUGGCCCUUACGAGUAGGGCUACACACGUGCUACAAUGGCGCAUACAGAGGGCGGCGAAACCUGCGAGGGUGAAGCGAAUCUCAGAAAGUGCGUCUAAGUCCGGAUUGGAGUCUGCAACUCGAACUCCAUGAAGUCGAAAUCGCUAGUAAUCGCGAAUCAGAAAUGUCGCGGUGAAUACGUUCCCGGGCCU